UCCCUGGAGGGCUUAGUGGUUAGGCCCCGGCGCUCUCACUGCCGCGGCCCGGGUUCGACUCUGGGCCAGGGAA